ACGAACGCUGGCGGCGUGCUUAACACAUGCCAGUCGCACGGAAAGGCCCUGCUUUUGUGGGGUGCUCGAGUGGCGAACGGGUGAGUAACACGUGAGUAACCUGCCCUUGACUUUGGGAUAACUUCAGGAAACUGGGGCUAAUACCGGAUAGGAGCUCCUGCUGCAUGGUGGGGGUUGGAAAGUUUCGGCGGUUGGGGAUGGACUCGCGGCUUAUCAGCUUGUUGGUGGGGUAGUGGCUUACCAAGGCUUUGACGGGUAGCCGGCCUGAGAGGGUGACCGGCCACAUUGGGACUGAGAUACGGCCCAGACUCCUACGGGAGGCAGCAGUGGGGAAUAUUGCACAAUGGGCGGAAGCCUGAUGCAGCAACGCCGCGUGCGGGAUGACGGCCUUCGGGUUGUAAACCGCUUUCGCCUGUGACGAAGCGUGAGUGACGGUAAUGGGUAAAGAAGCACCGGCUAACUACGU
rnacentral:rRNA from 1 species